rnacentral:tRNA from 1 species
AAUUAAUAAGCUUUUAAAAGCAUUUGUUUUGAAAACUUAAGAAAGAAAUUUUAAUUUCUAUUAAUUU